GCCCUAGUAACGGCGAGUGAAGCGGCAACAGCUCAAAUUUGAAAUCUGGCCCUCGGGUCCGAGUUGUAAUUUGUAGAGGAUGCUUUUGGUGCGGUGCCUUCCGAGUUCCCUGGAACGGGACGCCAUAGAGGGUGAGAGCCCCGUCUGGUUGGAUACCAAUCCUCUGUAAAGCUCCUUCGACGAGUCGAGUAGUUUGGGAAUGCUGCUCUAAAUGGGAGGUAUAUGUCUUCUAAAGCUAAAUACCGGCCAGAGACCGAUAGCGCACAAGUAGAGUGAUCGAAAGAUGAAAAGCACUUUGAAAAGAGGGUUAAACAGUACGUGAAAUUGUUGAAAGGGAAGCGCUUGUGACCAGACUUGGGCCCGGUUAAUCAUCCAGUGUUCUCACUGGUGCACUUGGCCGGCCCAGGCCAGCAUCAGUUCGGCGCGGGGGAUAAAGGCUUCGGGAAUGUGGCUCCUCCGGGAGUGUUAUAGCCCGUUGUGCAAUACCCUGCGCUGGACUGAGGUUCGCGCAUCUGCAAGGAUGCUGGCGUAAUGGUCAUCAGCGACCCGUCUUGAAACACGGACCAAGGAGUCGUCUUCGUAUGCGAGUGUUCGGGUGUUAAACCCCUACGCGUAAUGAAAGUGAACGCAGGUGAGAGCUUCGGCGCAUCAUCGACCGAUCCUGAUGUUCUCGGAUGGAUUUGAGUAAGAGCAUACGGGGCCGGACCCGAAAGAAGGUGAACUAUGCCUGUAUAGGGUGAAGCCAGAGGAAACUCUGGUGGAGGCUCGCAGCGGUUCUGACGUGCAAAUCGAUCGUCAAAUAUGGGCAUGGGGGCGAAAGAC
rnacentral:rRNA from 1 species